UCCUCGUUUAAACGAGGCAGUCCAUCCAGAGUGCUUCAGCCUUUCGGCUGAGUGGCAACUGGACGCAAGGGUUGCGCUCGUUGCGGGACUUAACCCAACAUCUCACGACACGAGCUGACGACAGCCAUGCAGCACCUGUGCAUACUGGUAUUGCUACCUCGUCACCCUUUCAGGCUUCUACUAUAUGCAUGUCAAGGCCAGGUAAGGUUCUUCGCGUUGCAUCGAAUUAAGCCACAUACUCCACCGCUUGUGCAGGCCCCCGUCAAUUUCUUUGAGUUUUAAUCUUGCGACCGUACUUCCCAGGCGGCACGUUUAACGCGUUAGCUUCGCCACAAAAGGGGUCGAUUCCUUUUACAGCAAACGUGCACCGUUUACGGCUAGGACUAC
rnacentral:misc_RNA from 1 species